rnacentral:sRNA from 1 species
UUAGGAUAUGCCAGAUUCCACCAAAUGCAA